rnacentral:rRNA from 1 species
AUUGAACGCUGGCGGCAGGCUUAACACAUGCAAGUCGAGCGGAGAUGAGGUGCUUGCACCUUAUCUUAGCGGCGGACGGGUGAGUAAUGCUUAGGAAUCUGCCAUUUAGUGGGGGACAACAUUCCGAAAGGAAUGCUAAUACCGCAUACGUCCUACGGGAGAAAGCAGGGGAUCUUCGGACCUUGCGCUAAAUGAUGAGCCUAAGUCGGAUUAGCUAGUUGGUGGGGUAAAGGCCUACCAAGGCGACGAUCUGUAGCGGGUCUGAGAGGAUGAUCCGCCACACUGGGACUGAGACACGGCCCAGACUCCUACGGGAGGCAGCAGUGGGGAAUAUUGGACAAGAGGGGGAACCCUGAUCCAGCCAUGCCGCGUGUGUGAAGAAGGCCUUAUGGUUGUAAAGCACUUUAAGCGAGGAGGAGGCUACUGAGACUAAUACUCUUGGAUAGUGGACGUUACUCGCAGAAUAAGCACCGGCUAACUCUGUG